UUCACCUGCUUCUUCUUUUUUAGCAAAAAAAAUUCUACCUUUAAAAAUCAUUGUAUUUUCAUUGAACCCUAAUCUUAACUGUCGAUAGCCCACCCCUCCGCUUCUCUUCUCUUUGAAAUCGUAACUCUCUGCUCUUCAAUCCUGCUCCAUCUGCUCGUCGUCACUCCGUAUGCUCAACAUCGCCGUUGCUCUAUGUGCUCGACAUCGCCGUUGAUUCGUCUGCUCGCAUCACCGUCGAAGUGCCCGACCAUUCUAGCUCCGAAAUUUCUAAUGUAGGGUGCUUCUUUGCAUUUCGUUCUCUAAAACUUUGGAACACUAUGAGCAAGGAGUUUUCUGCAUGUAGUUUGAUUAUGUCUAAUGCUAGACACGAGCAAGAAGCAUACUGGAACAAUGAGCAUAGAUUGGUCUGCACCGUUGAGAUUUGCACCGCCUCUAAGGGUGACCGCUAUGAAAAAUCGAUCAUUUUCCCAUUACUCUCCCUGGUUUUUAUUGCUUUUAAAGUUCCAAUAUUUAAUCAAAUUAAUUUUCUAGUGGUAGAUAUUUCUACAACUGGGCUGUAUAUUUCAUGAAAAAUUUGAUAUGUGGUCCAAUUCUUCUGUUGCAAUCCUUUAUUGUUCCCGGGUAUAUCUUUCUCGUUGUUUGACAACCACCAGUCAUCUGGUACAUGAUUCAUUUUCUAGUCAAUAAAUGUUUAGUAACUAUUUAACUUUCUUUCGUCAUUAA